CACACUCAUGCCCAACAAUUGAGGAAGUCGAAGAAACCCUAGUUUCUUAACCGUCAUAGCUGUACACACCCAUAGCCGCACACAGAAAAACCCUAGUUUCUCCACCGUCUUUCCAUCAUCUUCUUCGCGAGAGCCUUCAUUGACAAAAGCCCGACAGGAAAUGUAGAGUUGUUCAAGGUUGUCAAUAUUGUUUAUCACAAAAUCAGUCCUCAUUGAAACUGUCAAAUGUCGAUCCUCUAUCUGCUAAGUUGUUCUGUCCAUCCUCUAUCUGCUAAGUUAUCUGUCCAUCUUCAUCAUUCGUGUCGUGUUCUCUCCAACAUCUUCAUCAUCAUUCAUCAAAAUUUACAUUAUCAAUUUGGUUCUUUUAAUAUUGUUUUUGAAUAUUGGUUAUUUAGGUACUUAUUGUGAAAUAUUUUUUCCUAGGUGCUUUACUUGUUAGAAUUGGUGGUGAAAAACUCCUUUAAAAGGACAAUGCAAGUCUGUUGUACUCAAUGGAGUGAACCUUUUAGCUUAUCUCCUCUCUUCUACUACAGCAAGUCUUACUCUGAUAUAUUGGCUACUUUCUGAAGAACAGAAAUUUAAAUGUGGUAGUGGUAGUGAUCUCCCUAACCCAAUCUGCUUCGUUGUUCCGAGCAUCAAUUGGUAUUAAAAGCUGCAAUUGGUGCAUCUUGGUCCAUAGUAUGAUUUGCCUCAAGUGGAAAGGAAGCUGAAAGCUAAUGAGGCAAAUGAAGCUAAUGGUUUUGAAUUUGACAAUAUUUCUAACACGGCGUUUGAAGAGUUACAAAUGAUUGAACAACAAUGACAAGAUGAGUUACUAAGAUCCCAACAAACUAGUGUAUCCACUCCAAGGAAUGUGAACCCGAACCCUAGACAAGUUGUCCAACGUCCUAUUCGUCCACCAAAGCGUGCAAAAACUAAUAGAGGAAGAGGUGUAAUUUCUUUAGCUGGAGGUCGAAGGCGAACUAGAACUGAGUCUCAGGAGGAUAUUGAAGGACUUGAAAAGCGUACCUCACCAGUUUGGGAUCAUUUUACCAUUGUGGCUGAGAAGGAUGAUAACAAUGUUGUUAUUUCAUUACAUGCUAUUUGUCGCCAUUGUAAGAAUACUGACUAUAGAGCCGAAGGUCACUAUGAAACCUCCAAUUGUAAUCACCUCAAAACUUGUGAACCUUACCAAGAAUGGCUUGCUAAAAAUGGUGAUCUCAUUGGUGAUUUUAAUUAGAGAAAAUAUUGUUCUCUUUUUGUAGAGGCCAUUAUGUACCAUAGAUGCCCCUUAAGCAUGGUUGAGCACAAAUUUACAAGGAAAUUGCAUCGUUACUUGAAUCCAAAGGUGAAGAACAUAUCUAGGUCCACAAUCACUCGAUGGUGCAUGAGGAAAACUCUAAGUUAAGGAAAAUAUUAUUUGAAACUUUGAAGGAUUUAGAUAGCAAGGUGUCUUUAACAUGUGACAUUUGGACAUCUUUUAUAUCUCGUGGAUACUUGAAUUUAACAGCUUAUUAUAUUGACAAGGACUGGUGUUUGAAGUCGAAAGUUAUUAAUUUUCGUCAUUUCCCUCCCCCACACACUGGUCAUGCGAUUUAUGACCUUGUUUAUGCAAUGAUCAAGGAUUGGGGUCUUGAAUCAAAGGUUAUGUGCAUGACUGUUGACAAUGCAACCAAUAAUGAUUCCAUGAUCCCUUUGUUACAAGAAUGUUUAAAUGGCCAUUCGUCUUUUCCAAGUGAUGGUGCACAUUUUCAUAUUCGUUGUGCGGCGCACAUUUUGAAUUUGAUUGUUAAAUAUGGAUUAAAAGCAAUUGAUCCUGCUGUCAAACUUGUGCGUAUAAUGUCAAGUACAUUGAUUCAUCCAAAGCAAGGAUGAAUAGGUUUAGAGAUUUUGUAUCUCAGAUAGAAAAACCUUCUUUGCUGAAAUUAUGGUUGGAUUUUGUAACGAGAUGGAACUCUACAUAUCUAAUGUUGAAGCGAGCUCUUGACUAUAGAGUUGCGGUGAAUCGCUUUGGUAGUACUAAGCCUGAUUACACCUUGAAGCUCACUAAUUGUGAGUGGGAAUCUGCUGAAAACAUGGCUUUUAUUCUUCAACCUUUCUAUGCAAUGACUAAUCUUUUCUCUGAGUUAGAUUAUCCCACUGUAAAUCUAUAUUUUGAACAAGUUUGUAAGACAAAAUACCAUCAACGACGUGCUUGUGAAAGUGAGAAUACUUGCAUUAGAGAGAUGGGAAAUGAGAUGUUUGAGAAGUUGGAGAAAUAUUGGGGCAAGUCCUCUUUAAUUUUGUCUAUUGUUGCGGUGUUUGACCCUAGGCAUAAGAUUCCAUUUCUAAAACAUCAUUUUAGAAAGGUUUAUCAAUUUGAGGAUGAGGUUUAUCAACAAAUUGUGAGGGUUUGCUCUGGACUUGUCAAUCUUUUCAAUGAUUAUAAGUCUACACUUACUUUAUCGACUAAAGCUCAUUAAGCUUCUACUUUUGAAAAUCUUGCAUCACUUGGUUCAUGCUCUUGCAUUGGUUCAUGCUCUCGUGAUUCUGAUGGCUAUGAGAGUUUUGAAAGUUCUCAAGAACUACUUUUUUCUUCUAAUAAUUUAGCGGAAGUGGAAAAAUACCUUGAAUCACCUUUGCACAUGCAUGGUAAUUUCAAAUUUGAUAUUUUGUUGUAUUGGAAAGACCAAUAAGCUACUUAUCCAAUUAUGUCUAAAAUACAUAUUGGCUAUCCCAAUAACCACAGUUGCAUCCGAAUCAAAAUUUUCUAUGGGAGGAAGAAUUUUGAAUAGAUAGAGACCAUCCCUUUUAUCAAGACAUGUUAAAGCCUUGAUUUUAACACGUAAUUGGUUGUUUGGAUUUGAAGAAGAACCUGAUGAAGUAGGAUUAGUUGUUGGCAAUGACUUAGUCCCCGAUGCAGAAUCGCAUGCUAAGGGAGAUUAGGGUCCAAGUGGAUCCUCGUCUUCAAAAUUUGCUAUGGUUUGUUCACUUGAUUGUUGCCAUGCAAAUGAUGUUGGUUCUUAUGGAUCUGAAUGUGGCUCAAAUUGAAACACGGAAUCUGGACACAAGUAAUUGAACCUUACAAGUCAUAUGGAAACUCGAUAGCCAUUGGGUUGGGUGAAUGUUAUCCAUAAGUCUUAGUCUUAUAGGCAACUUUCUAAUAGCCUUAUUUACUUGGGAUUAGGCAAUUAGAAAUGUUUCCUUUGCUAUGAUUCAUGUUGGUAGCUUGCUGAACAUGCGACGAUUGUUGACCUUGAGAGGCAUUACAAUGAUCACACUCGACAUGUGAUACAUUAACUGAUUGAAAUGUGGUACCACAAGCAAAGCAGCAGUACGUGAGAGAUUUUGGUGCUCGUUGUCGACUUUUAUGUUUCGUUUUGGAGAAAGUGUUUAAUGGUGGACAUACUCACGUACAUUUGAUGGAUGAUACUUUUAUGGUGGAUAUAUAACUAUUUAUAGUUGCUGAUUGAAUGUUAAUUUUUUGGGUUAAAAACUUGAUAUUUGUACAUUUAAAUUUGGUUGAUGUAUAAGUGAUAGAUGUAAAUUUUUGGAGUUAAAAACUUAAUAUUUUUAUAUUUAAAUUUGGUGGAUAUAUAAGUGAUGGAUGUAAAUAUAUGGGGUUUAAAGCUUGAAGAAUUGGUGGAUUACUAACAUUAAAUAUAUAAUUAGCAAUAGAAAGCAAGAUAAGUCUAGAUCGAAGUGUUG